UACCAUGCAGUCGAGCGGGGAGAGGUGCUUCGGUACUGAUCCUAGCGGCGGACGGGUGAGUAAUGCUUAGGAAUCUGCCAUUUAGUGGGGGACAACAUUCCGAAAGGAAUGCUAAUACCGCAUACGUCCUACGGGAGAAAGCAGGGGAUCUUCGGACCUUGCGCUAAAUGAUGAGCCUAAGUCGGAUUAGCUAGUUGGUGGGGUAAAGGCCUACCAAGGCGACGAUCUGUAGCGGGUCUGAGAGGAUGAUCCGCCACACUGGGACUGAGACACGGCCCAGACUCCUACGGGAGGCAGCAGUGGGGAAUAUUGGACAAUGGGCGGAAGCCUGAUCCAGCCAUGCCGCGUGUGUGAAGAAGGCCUUUUGGUUGUAAAGCACUUUAAGCGAGGAGGAGGCUACCUAGAUUAAUACUCUGGGAUAGUGGACGUUACUCGCAGAAUAAGCACCGGCUAACUCUGUGCCAGCAGCCGCGGUAAUACAGAGGGUGCGAGCGUUAAUCGGAUUUACUGGGCGUAAAGCGUGCGUAGGCGGCUGAUUAAGUCGGAUGUGAAAUCCCUGAGCUUAACUUGGGAAUUGCAUUCGAUACUGGUCAGCUAGAGUAUGGGAGAGGAUGGUAGAAUUCCAGGUGUAGCGGUGAAAUGCGUAGAGAUCUGGAGGAAUACCGAUGGCGGAGGCAGCCAUCUGGCCUAAUACUGACGCUGAGGUACGAAAGCAUGGGGAGCAAACAGGAUUAGAUACCCUGGUAGUCCAUGCCGUAAACGAUGUCUACUAGCCGUUGGGGCCUUUGAGGCUUUAGUGGCGCAGCUAACGCGAUAAGUAGACCGCCUGGGGAGUACGGUCGCAAGACUAAAACUCAAAUGAAUUGACGGG
rnacentral:rRNA from 1 species